UUCUGCUUCUGAAUUCUGCUGGAGGUGUUUGUGUUUGUUUGUGAGUGUGGGGCGGCUGGAGCUGCAAGACAAAGGCGCAUAUUUAUAGCGGCAGCAGAGCACAGCACAACACAGCAGCCAGAUGUUAUCGUCGUCGUCGUCGUCGUGAUCUUUUUUUGAUCUCUCAAGCAAAGCAAAGCAAGGAAACGUCCGUUGCUGCUUUCAUCCUUUUUUGUUGUUUUGCUGAAACUGGCCUGGGUGUCGUGUUCUGGAGAGCAGUCAACGAUUCUUAGCUGCGGCAUGGGGCGGAGUACCGCCAGUGGCAGUGGCAGCGAGUGAGUGACAGAGAUUGAACACCACCACUCACUCUCACUCUGACACAUCGAAUCAAUCAGUCCAGUCAGUCAGUCAGUCAAUGAGUCAGAGUGCAUAACUGAAAAGGCAUGCGUCGUGAAAAGGCUCAAGCUAGAAGCAGUGCCUGCCCUCUCUGCACUGAUGAGCCAACAGGAGAUGAUGGAAAAAGAUUAUGCUGUGAUGCUGGGCUCUCUGCUGCUGCUGAUUUCUAUAUAUAUUAAUUUAUAUUAAUUGUUAAAUAUAUAUGUAUUUAUAUAAAAAACGUAUAAAUAUAAUAUUUCGACGACUAA